rnacentral:rRNA from 1 species
UUAGCGGCGGACGGGUGAGUAACACGUGGGUAACCUGGCCUGUAAGACUGGGAUAACUCCGGGAAACCGGGGCUAAUACCGGAUGCUUGUUUGAACCGCAUGGUUCAAACAUAAAAGGUGGCUUCGGCUACCACUUACAGAUGGACCCGCGGCGCAUUAGCUAGUUGGUGAGGUAACGGCUCACCAAGGCAACGAUGCGUAGCCGACCUGAGAGGGUGAUCGGCCACACUGGGACUGAGACACGGCCCAGACUCCUACGGGAGGCAGCAGUAGGGAAUCUUCUUCAAU